CCGGAAUUGGCAGCUCGGAGAAGUGCUUGAAGUAGAUCCUCGGGAUAGCUUGGAAUCCCGGGGGCGGCAAAUUUAUAGGCUGGUACCUCGACAUCCAGAAUCGGAGGUGACUAGAAAUCUGAAUCCCCGAGAACAACCCUCGAGCAUCGCUCACAUUCAGAAGGGAGGGGGGAUUCAAUCCAUCAGACCCAUCCAAAGUUGCGUGGGUCAUUACUUGCUCAAACUCGCCGUCCCCAGAACGGCCAACGGGUAGCAACUUUGGAACGCCAUUCAAGGCGAUCUCGCAAUGAGCGAACCCAGAGGGGUUCACAGCUCCAAGGUAGGUGUUCAAGUCGAGGUCUGGGUCUCGACUGGCAUUCAAAUCCACGGG
rnacentral:lncRNA from 1 species